AUUGAACGCUGGCGGCAUGCCUUACACAUGCAAGUCGAACGGUAGCAGGUCUUCGGACGCUGACGAGUGGCGAGCGGGUGAGUAAUACAUCGGAACGUGCCCAGUCGUGGGGGAUAACUACUCGAAAGAGUAGCUAAUACCGCAUACGAUCUGAGGAUGAAAGCGGGGGACCUUCGGGCCUCGCGCGAUUGGAGCGGCCGAUGGCAGAUUAGGUAGUUGGUGGGAUAAAAGCUUACCAAGCCGACGAUCUGUAGCUGGUCUGAGAGGACGACCAGCCACACUGGGACUGAGACACGGCCCAGACUCCUACGGGAGGCAGCAGUGGGGAAUUUUGGACAAUGGGCGAAAGCCUGAUCCAGCAAUGCCGCGUGCAGGAUGAAGGCCUUCGGGUUGUAAACUGCUUUUGUACGGAACGAAAAAGUCUCCUCUAAUACAGGAGGCCCAUGACGGUACCGUAAGAAUAAGCACCGGCUAACUACGUGCCAGCCGCCGCCGUAA
rnacentral:rRNA from 1 species